GCGGUUCUGCGCGUCGCGUGAGGAGCCUUGCAUCCCCGGGGCCUUAUCGAUCCUAACGGGAGCUGUCCCCGCCUUGGCUCGUGGGCCUUGGCAUACGGCGCCCACCUACAUGUGUAGGUUUCCCGGGAUCGAAUUGCUCCCACGGACGGGUGGUCCGCC
rnacentral:other from 1 species